AUUGAACGCUGGCGGCAUGCUUUACACAUGCAAGUCGAACGGUAACAGGCCGCAAGGUGCUGACGAGUGGCGAACGGGUGAGUAAUGCAUCGGAACGUGCCCAGUCGUGGGGGAUAACGCAGCGAAAGUUGCGCUAAUACCGCAUACGAUCUAUGGAUGAAAGCGGGGGACCGUAAGGCCUCGCGCGAUUGGAGCGGCCGAUGUCAGAUUAGGUAGUUGGUGGGGUAAAGGCUCACCAAGCCGACGAUCUGUAGCUGGUCUGAGAGGACGACCAGCCACACUGGGACUGAGACACGGCCCAGACUCCUACGGGAGGCAGCAGUGGGGAAUUUCGGACAAUGGGCGCAAGCCUGAUCCAGCAAUGCCGCGUGCAGGAAGAAGGCCUUCGGGUUGUAAACUGCUUUUGUACGGAACGAAACGGUCCUGGUUAAUACCCGGGGCUAAUGACGGUACCGUAAGAAUAAGCACCGGCUAACUACGUGCCAGCCGCCGCCGUAACAC
rnacentral:rRNA from 1 species